rnacentral:rRNA from 1 species
GUCGAUGACCAUACCACCUUGAAGACACCUAAGUCUGUCUGACCUCGGAAGCUAAGCAGAGUCGGGCCCAGUUAGUACUUGGAUGAGAGGAGAGGAAUAACUAACCCUUCUCACAGGGCAGCUGUGAGGGACUGACU